GUCACUGUGUGAAGCAAUUUGCCUUUAUUGUGUGUAGUCGAUCAAGUUAUCUUCUGUCCCGUCGUUUGAAGCAUAUAUUUUAGCUCCGGCAUUGGUCUCCCAUUAUUGAUCCCUUCACGUUUUGAUUGAAAGUCCAGUUUUGAGAAAUGUUUUAUCGUAACGGUGUUAACUAAUUAUGAGGCUCUGCCUCCCCUGACCGCACGUCCCGGUGUUACAAGCCGACUGGUUUUCAAACAUAGCUGUGCGUUCACCUAUCAGUCUGCCUCUAUCACCAGAUUCGUCACAAAUUCACAAACAUAUUAAAGCCAAAUCCAGAUUCCAAAUCAAGAUGUUACCUGAAGGCCAAGGUGAUUAAUAAGUACGUAACUGAUUUAAAGAUAUUCUAUGAGCUAGAAUAGCUCGCAGUUUAAAGCAAUGGCCUUUGGUAUAUUACGUGUUUGGUCGAGUGCGAUCGAAUCCCACUUCAUGCGAGCCUGCAAAUGUUUUAUUUUGUCGUGAAUGGUAAUGUAGUGCGCACGUAGCCUAUACUUUUAUAUUCGCCGCAGCAAAUAUGAGAUCCGACUGGAAAAUUGCCAGUAAUAUGUUUGUGAAUUUGUGACGAAUCUGGUGAUAGAGGCGGACUGAUAGGUGAACGCACAACUGGGAAACCAGUGGGUUUGAAAACCAGUUGGUAGUGAUGGGAAAUUCUGAUCCUUUUACGUACUCGGUUCUUAGAAUCUCGUUCAUGAAAGGAACGAAUAUUUUUUCGAGGGGGGGGCAUUAAAAUAUUGUAUCAUGACAGUUUGUAUGAUUUGAAAUGGUAAUUUAUUAUCACACUAUCAUUUACCAAUUAUCACGGCAAACAAUUACGCUGCACUGAACUGUAAGUACAAGUUUGUAAAGUACAAAAAAGUUAAAAUAACGAAACCUGUAAUUAUUACUUGUUAACGAAUAUCAUUCACGUCUUACUAAACCUAGUCACGCGAAAGUGAACGAGGUAAACAAAUCAAUUUAUGUUUCCUCUUCUGAGCCUAUGCAGGUCACGUGAAAAAUGAUCCAAAGACUCGUACCCGGCAGAUGAACGAAUCGUUCACCUCCCGACCGUGUCUUCGGAUCAAUGUUUCGUAUCCUUCGUUCGUGCCGGGUACGAGUCUUUUGAUCCUUGUUCACGUGACCUGCAUAGCUGGUAGCUAGAGGAAACAGACUGGGUCUUUGUACGAGUCUUUGGAUCCUUUUUCUCGUGACCUGAAUUGGUUUAGUAGAGGAAACAGUUACCUAACGAAUCUGUCUUUGAGAGGACUCAUUACUCCCGAGUCCUUGUAAGUGAACGAUUCGUUCAUUUUGAACGAAUCGUUCACGAACGACACAUCACUACCAGUUGGCUUGUAACACCUGCUCCAGACCCUGUCUAUUGUUUUAGUGCCAUUUGUUUCAUUGUGUAAACCAGCUUUCACUAGAUAAAUAAUCUACAUUCCCAUCCAUUUAAUUUAGCUGAUGAUGACGUUCAGAGUGAGACAGGUUCAGAGGCUGGUAGUCGGUCUUUGUCACAGGCGGCCACGGCCCAUCCUUUAUUCAAGGCAGGGAAAAAUAAAAUGACAGAGGAGAGGAUUAACGAAUGUCACCGAGCAGUGACUAAGUUUGUGGUGAAAGGUUUGCACCCGCUUACUACGGUAGAUGCCCCAGAUUUUCGGUAGGCUUUUUUUUUUUUACAUGCCAGCUCAAAUAAAAUGUUUAGUUGCAUGUUGUUAUUCUAACUUGCAUAGUUCUGUUUCAUUCCUUCAUCCCACUAUAUAUUUUCUAUAGGGAGAUGACAAAGAUUCUCAACCCAAGGUAUAAAGCCCCAGACAGAGACAGUUUGGCAAACCAAUUGAUCCCUGCUUGGUAUGAGGUUGAAAAGAGGAAUCUUAUGUCAGAGCUGAAGCUUGUCAAAAAGGCAGCCAUCACUGCUGAUGGAUGGACAAGUUUCAGUCAGGACCAUUAUCUAACAGUAACGCUGCACUGGGUCAGGGACGGUCAGAAUAAGGAAAAAGUCCUUAAAACUAAGGCAGUGUACCAGGCACAGACAGGGCCAGCUGUGGCAGAGGAGAUGGAUGGGAUCCUGGAGGAGUUUGAAGUGAGACUGAAGGUAGUGGCAGCCACUGUUGACAACGCAGCAAAUAUGAGUGUAGCCGUGAAGACUCUACACCUGAUCAAGUUGCCAUGUUUCGCGCACACACUGAACCUCGGAGCUCAGAAGCUGUACAACUGUACUACGAUUUCCAACUGGGUGGCAAGGAUUUGUUCUGUGGUUGUAUGGAUGAAGAUAUCCCACAUGGCCAAAGUAAUCCUCCAGGAGAAGCAAGAACUCCUAAAGCUGCCAAAGCACAUGCUCCUCUUGGAUGUGAAGACGCAGUUUUUGAGCCGUUUCCGCUCUACAUCCUAAACUCCUCCCCUCGAUGCAACCCACUUCCGUUCUGGCGGGAUGGGUUUGUUUUGCUAGUUGGCUCCGUUGUGCCGACAAAGCACUGAUAUCGCAGUGACAAAGCGGAUAUAACAUUUACAACAUGAAGAAAAGUGGUUCGGGAACGACGUGUGCGGUAGUUGGUUGCAAACACUCGAGAAAGCACCUGAACGAGUGGUUAGAUAGAGAGUGCUACGACCACAAACCAGCUACGAAGAGGCAAUGUCCAUGCGCUCCAAUGUUUACAUUUUUUCGCAAGCCUGAUACCGACUCGGAAUCAACGACGUGGCUGAAGGCAUUGAAUCUAAAGAAACCACCCCGAAAUGUUUUUGUUUGUUCCUAUCACUUUGUUGACCGAAAACCAACCAAGGAUCAUCCUUUCCCAGAGUUGUGGUUGGGAGACAAUCUCCCUCCCCAGCCAAAGAGGCGUCAAUUCACCCAGCGGACCGCUGCCUCCACCCAGAUAAAGAAACGCAGACUUGAAUCUGAGGGUGCCAAAUCUGAUGACCCGUUGUCCCCUGACUGGGUACCAUCCAUCUUUACACACACACCAGCCAUCAAGAAAAGGAUAAGAGAGAAAGACAUGGAGAGGUAUGAGCAGCACAACCGAAUGAAGAACAAGAGGGUGGAGGAGAAGAAGCCAGAUGCAGUGGAUGUCCUCCUAGAACUGUCAUCAGAGCCUCAUGCUGAGCUGGCACCACUUGAGGAGGAAGAACAACAGUGUGCCAACAGACUAUGUAGGGAAAAGACUGAAAGAUUACAAAAGGAAUGUAAUGAGCUCAGGGAGGAAAACCAAAGGUUGCGCUCAUCCAAUGUAAAGUGGAUGUAAAUACCUGAGAGAGUGUCGUUGGUUGGCAGUAGCGGUUCUAGGCACGGGUGAACCGGGCUGCCCGGGGUGGCAUGAAGAGAGGGGCGGCAUUUUUGUGUUUGGUCUAUAUUUGUAUUUAGUACUAUAACUAUUUAAUGUGAAUGAGUGGGUUGAAAGGAUUGUACUGGCCCUGGAUAGCAAAAUCAGAUGUACUGUAAGUGGGAUGGCUGAUGACUUAAAAGCACCUGGUAUCGUCUGCUUCUAUCCUAAUUUAUGUCUUUUGGAAAUAAAGAAAUCAAUGAACUUGCAAAAUGUAGAACGUAUUCU